rnacentral:rRNA from 1 species
GUGCCAGCCGCCGCGGUAAUACGUAGGGUGCGAGCGUUAAUCGGAAUUACUGGGCGUAAAGCGUGCGCAGGCGGUGAUGUAAGACAGGUGUGAAAUCCCCGGGCUUAACCUGGGAACUGCAUUUGUGACUGCAUCGCUGGAGUGCGGCAGAGGGGGAUGGAAUUCCGCGUGUAGCAGUGAAAUGCGUAGAUAUGCGGAGGAACACCGAUGGCGAAGGCAAUCCCCUGGGCCUGCACUGACGCUCAUGCACGAAAGCGUGGGGAGCAAACAGGAUUAGAUACCCUUGUAGUCC